GUAGUCCUGAGGCUCCCAAGGCGCAGGCUCGUCUCCCCCCUCCCUUCUAAGGCGGCAUGAAGAAUGCGCGCGCAGCCUCGACGCCAUGAUUGGUUCUUUGGCCUCGAACCAGUUCUUUAUCUGAGGUCAGGCCAGGCCCCGGACCCAAUUCCAGGUCUGUCUUCUCAAGACUUUGCCUUUCCCCAGCAAGAGAGCACUGAGCAGGAGAAGAUGAAUUCUGUACUUCUGACAGCCAGAUCCCCGUCUAGGAUCUCCCUUAACUCAGAUUCCUCCUGUGACCCAACAUGAAUGGAGGCUGGUCGCUUCUGCUAUUGUGGCAAUUCUAGAGGAUGUGCAGGUUUAAGGUAAGAGAUGUGGAAAACGGAGUGACUUUUCCAAGACUACAGUAACCC
rnacentral:lncRNA from 1 species